CUAAACAGUCUACUGCCUUCCU
rnacentral:miRNA from 1 species